AUGAACCAACUUCCAGACUCAAUUUCAGGAUACGUGCAUUCUGUAUCACCCAUAAAACUAUCUAAAAUUAAUAGCAAAUACUUUACCGCUUCACUACAAACUGACAGGGACACAUACCACCACACAGUCAUCUUUCAGUGUAAUCAACAAACCUCAUGGAACAAUGCUGCAAGGAACUGCUCCGCAAUCAAACUCAUGAAUGCAAAGAAAGUUCCAAACAGCAAUGACACAAAAUAUGACAUCCAGAGUACCAGCUCUACAACACUCGAAGUGACUCAAGUACCAUUCCCCCAUAAACCCCCAAAGCAACCACACCCCUCCACCAUUGCCGAAAUGAAAACCCUAGAUGCACAGCAUCAUAUACCCACACUAAAAGCCAAAGUAACAAAGAUAGAGUCUGUUAAAAAUGUGUUUUUUAACAAGACUGAAGCAGAGGUAAUGAACUGUUGGAUAACUGAUGAAACCGGAGGAAUUCAAAUUGCCUUGUGGGACAACUUCAUUAGUGACGUCUAUCAAGGAAACUCGUAUAACUUUACGAACCUGAUGACAAAAAGGUACCAACAAAAAAACCUUUUUACAAUCAACCAGACACACAACAAUUACACCUUUAAAAAUUCAAAUUUCUACUGGACCACUUCAUCAAAUGUCUGAGGAUGAAAUUACUCCUCACAAAAACAUCACCUCUGCUUUACAAGGUGUGCAAAUAAACAUCAGUAAACACUGCCCAAAGUGUGCCACUCUUCAACAAGAUUUUUCUCCACAAUGUGCUUUCCACCGCUGCACAAAGUGCAAAAUGUUAAGGAGUGGCACCGCUUACGUCACAAAACUUGGUGGCAUUUUGGAGUUUAAAGAGAACAAAACGGAGCUCUCUUUAACAGUGUCAAAUUCCAUUUUGAAGAGAUUUUUAGCACCACUACUUGACCUGUGCAACACCGAUGCCCAGGACAUCGAACAGAUGUUCCUGGCCAUGAAAAGUUUAACAGUAACAUUUACACACAACAUGCAGGUUCUACAAAUGCAAAAAACACCCAACGACAAUACUGAUGAGGAACUUCACAUUGAAGAAACUCAAUUGUCACCAGAACCUGCUGCACUUUUUAUCCCGCAAAAAACACCAGUAAAAGAAACCAAACAUUCAUGUAAAAAAACAAAGUGUGAUAGACUUGUGUUAAGUUUAUACAACCUGUAUAACUUGUAUUUUCUUGUAAAAAAAAAAAAAAUUGUAGAUGUAGAUCUAUAGGGGUUUACUUUUCAGUGGUUAAAAUGUUUGUUUAUUUCCCCCCAUUUCUAGUUGCUAAAAUUUGUAAUGGAAAUAUACGUUGCUGUAAAAAUAUGAUUUAAUUGUGAAGCUUUCUUCUACUUGAUUAAAUGUUUAAGUUUUGCAACUAUACAGGAUGCUUUCUUUAUCAAUGUUUUACUUUUGAUGGUUCCUUUUUUCACCCAAAUUUAUUUCCUUCUAAAUAAAUGCAAUACAACACUAACUUUUGUCCUCUAUUUUUGUACCUGUACUUCCAUUUAUAUUGCUUUAAUUUUUUGUUUUGAAACUCCAACUAAUCCUCUUUUUGUAUGACCUGGACUUUAAUUUUAGUCCCCUAUAAAAUUUCCAUUAUUGGUCUAAACAUCUAGUGUGUAAUUUAAGUCAAAUUAUAAAUGAGCUGCACAAAAAUGGUUAAACAAGAUUCUUUUUUUUUUUUUUUUUUUCUUGUUCCCAACCAAGAACUCAGGAACUGCAAUGUGUUGGCCAACCACAUGUUACUGUUGUAAGUGACGUGCAGUUGACCCAAAGACUGUGAUUUCCACAUUCCAGAUACAUUGUCUUGUUAAUUCAAUUGUUUCAGCAGUACAAUGAACUUUUAACUGUUACAAUAAAAAUAUUUACUACUAUAAGCACUGAACUAUUAACCUUCAGUACUGAUACAUUCUUACUUACCUAUAACCCAGAUAAAUAUAUAUUUGACUCUUUCUCUCAACAUUUAUAAAGCUGUGAAUUGUCACUUGGAUUAUUUUUACCUAGAUAAUACUCACAUUAAUCCUUCCCAUUUAAUUGGAAAUGUGUUUUCUCACACAUUCUGAAUGAACCAUGUGUCCGCCAUUUAGAUUUUUAUAGUUAACAUGAUUUUGUGUACUUAUUCUUUCACUGAAGCCUCUACUUUUUAAGUCCUUAAUUAAUGUCCUCUGAGUGGCGCAAGUUGCUAAACCCCAUAUCAUGAAUCCUGAAGCAUUCCAGUUGUGGGUUAGAAUCCUGUAUGGGACAAGUUUAAAAUUGGGUAUAAAGUUGUCAUUUCAAUUCCUUUAUUACAUGGGUAAGAGCUGUACUAAAGUUUCUUAAAAUGGGAUCAAAAAUAAGUGUGUUUUUGUAACUUCAUUCUGUGUUCGUUCUCAUCAGACCUUCUGAUUUCACCAUAUCUGUAAUUCUGAAUCUAUCUGUUCUGGAAAAGUGCUGAAAAAGUUGCUGGAAAAACCCUUAAAAGCCAAAGAGCAAUAAGGGCUUGGCCCCAGAAAGGCUGCUUGCAGCUUUAAUAGCGAUUGUUUUUGUUAGAUUUUUUGAACAAAAACAAUCGAUCACUAUGGCAGCCCUAUGAAGGGAACAUGGGAAAAUGAUGAAAUUUGGCACGCUUGUAGAGAUGGUCACCAAUAGUGAUCUGACCAACUUUGGGGUCUCUAGGACCAACUCCAUAGCGCCACCACCAGUUCAAAAAUUCAAUAUUUAAACAUUAAUAACUCCUGAACCCUUUGUUCUAGAAAGAUAAAACUUAGUACACACAAUUACUCUCUUCAUGGACAUUACACUCUAUACCUUUACAUUAAGACUCCACCCAUUACAGUAGUGGCUAUUAUGUUAAUUAGGUGUUUCCGUUU
ensembl:lncRNA